UACGUAGGGGGCAAGCGUUGUCCGGAAUUAUUGGGCGUAAAGCGCGUGCAGGCGGUUUUAUAAGCGAGACGUAUAAGUGCAGGGCUCAACCUUGUGAGGCGUUUCGAACUGUAAGACUUGAGUGCGAGAGAGGAAAGUGGAAUUCCACGUGUAGCGGUGAAAUGCGUAGAGAUGUGGAGGAACACCAGUGGCGAAAGCGACUUUCUGGCUCGUAACUGACGCUGAGGCGCGAAAGCGUGGGGAGCAAACAGG
rnacentral:rRNA from 1 species